UACGGAGGGUGCGAGCGUUGUCCGGAAUCACUGGGCGUAAAGGGCGCGUAGGCGGCCUGAUAAGUAGGGGGUGAAAUCCUGCGGCUUAACCGCAGGGCUGCCUUCUAAACUGUCAGGCUAGAGCACAGUAGAGGCAGGUGGAAUUCCCGGUGUAGCGGCGGAAUGCGUAGAGAUCGGGAGGAACACCGGUGGCGAAGGCGGGUCUCUGGGCAGUAACUGACGCUGAGGAGCGAAAGCGUGGGGAGCGAACAGG
rnacentral:rRNA from 1 species